rnacentral:lncRNA from 1 species
AGAACCCAGUCCCAGGAGUCAGGAAGGGUUUGCUGGAAGAAUUGAGGGAGAUUCUAAACUGAAUCCUCCUGACUGAUCAGGAAGAGAUGACUCCUCCGAGGCUGUGGUUUGGGGAAGGGUUGCCAGCUGAAUCUGCCAUUCCUUUUCCUUUUCCCAGGCAUCGCCUUCUCCGAUGGAGAACGCUGGAAGAUCCUCCGAAGGUUCUCUGUCCAAAUCCUGAGGAACUUUGGCAUGGGAAAAAGAAGCAUCGAGGAGCGGAUCCUGGAAGAAGGCAGCUUCCUGCUGGACGUGCUGCGGAAAACGGAAGUCGUUUCGAUUAUGACGAUGAACGGCUGCUCACCAUUAUCCACUUUAUCAAUGACAACUUCCAGAUUAUGAGCAGCCCCUGGGGCGAGAUGUACAACAUCUUCCCGAGUCUCCUGGACUGGGUGCCUGGGCCGCACAGACGCGUGUUCCGGAACUUUGGGGGCAUGAAAGAUC